UGAAAAUAGAAAUCUUCAAAAACAAGGACCGUGAAUGCAUCACGUAUUACUUCCGCUUAGCUUAUCAGUUUGCUUGAAUCAGCUGGGAAGAGAAAGUUUGUUCACUGUAUUGGGUUCUGACAAGAUCUGCAACAAUCCAGCUUUCUCAUUGCUUACAAUCCCAGUUCACAUCAAUACAAUCAGCAAUGGAUCCACAAGCAAACCCUCAGCCGGUCAUGUGUGAGGUCUGCGGGACAUACUUUGAGACACGUCGAGGGCUCUCCAGUCAUGCCCGUCUGCAUCUGCGACAACUUGGUGUGACUUUGUCAGAAAGCAGUGGGGCUCCAAUUGACCUUCUUUACCAGCUUAUCCAAGAAAGAGAUGGCUCUCUCCCUGAUUUCAAAGCUGGCUCCUCUGUACCUGGAUCAGCCCCUUUAAAAAAAACUGCCCAGCAGGAGUCCAGGACCCCUUCAAUGCCAGAGGACAGAAGUACCUUCUAUAAGGCAGGAAGUAGAAUAACUACUCUGCAAAAGUUGACUCAACAGGGAUCUUCAUCCAGGUUGAAAGAGUCCUCUGCCUCUCUCCUCCCCCCAUCCCCCCCUGGUCUUGGGUUGGUCGAAUCUAAAAUGAGUGAAAAGAGCAGCUCAUCAUCAUCAGAGUACCAAACGACAACCAAGCCACUUUGGGCGCCGCUUGAAACUGAUGCACCAAUCACCUUAGACACCAACGAUGAGGUCCAUGUGUGCCAACUCUGUGGUUGCUGGUAUGAGACCCGCAAAGGCCUGUCCAGUCAUGCUCGGGCCCAUCUGCGCCAAAUUGGAGUUCCUGACACUGAGAUCAAGGGUAGCCCUAUUGAUCUUCUAUACAAGAUCAUGGAGGACGAGGACAUGAAGCCCAUCAGCAGUGAGCAAAAAAAGGAGCCCACCUCAGCGAACCCCCCUAGAUCGUCUUCUAAACGUUCUUCUAGUCUGUCCUCUCAAGCUGCGUCUCCUGCUAGCAAACGGCCUAAAGUGUCAGAGGACUGUACCUGCAUUCUCUGUGGGGAGGAGUUUGAGAAUCGAAAAGGCCUGGCCUGCCAUGCUCGCUUUCACCUGAAGCAGAUCGGAGUGGUUGACCUGUUGGGGAAAAGCUCUGCAAUCGACACCGUCAAGGAACUGGUCAGCAGUGGCAUGCUUCAAGCCAUAAAUUCCCCCAAAAAAGCAACCAGCUCAUCUGCAGCCCGAGCCACAGCCCUGUCCUCGGCACCAAGCGGUUCACAGACUUCAUUUCCCUCUUCCUCCCCCUCUCCGAGUCCUGCCAAGAGCACUUCUGAUGCACCUGUUAACAGAGCCCCAAAAGCUAAAAAAGGCUUUCGGCUUGCAGUGGACCCCCUUCAUCGAAAGCCCAAGCCAGAGCCUGUGGAGACUGAGGUGUGUGUUCAACCCCAGGGAUCCAGCAACAGCAGCAACUCCCCAAUGCAGAAAUCACCUGCUGCUGUCGACCCUUCAGAGCCUCUCAAUGCUGAGUUGCCAGUGGCCUCCACAGGGGUUCAGUCCCCGCCUACAGUCCUGUGCGAUUACUGUGGCCAGCUGUUUGAGACCCGUAAAGCCCUCUCAUGCCAUGCCCGUGCCCACCUGCGCCAGCUCGGUCUCUCUUGGUCAAUGAAAACAUCACCUAUCGAUCUACUAAGAGAAGUCAUGGAGAAUGGUGAAGGAGGGAAAAAAAAGCCUUCAUCCGUUGGGUCACCAGGCAAAGCCAUGUGGAUCCCUCAAGGCUCCAAAAAGUCCCCGGGCAUUCUUCAUUUAGGAGAGGCAGCCACUAAACCCAGCAUGUCACCUCUGGAUUUUUCCAUGAAAGAGAAAUCUCCUUCCGACAAGAGUGGCUCCUCACACACCGAUACAUCAUGUGAACUUUGUGGGUUCGAUUUUGAAAACCGCAAGGCCCUGGCCAGUCAUGCAAGAGCCCACCUCCGACAGCUGGGAAUCCUAGAAUGGAAGGCAGACGGAGCAAGUUCACCAAUCGAUCUCCUCAAUGAGUUGAUCCGUCGGGACCCAACCAAGGUGUCAGCAAUAACCCGACGCUAUAGAACAGGGGACCUUUACAUCAAGAAGUCUGGGAGAGCUGCAGCUUCACCCUCACUAUCCAUAGAUUCUGAUUCUGUGCCCGGCAGCAGUCCGAAGGCUACAGUUCAGCAUCAUCAUCACAAGAAAGGAAGAGAUGACUUGAGCUCAUCAAGACACUCACAAGGCCGCACGCAGACUUUUGGAGCCCACAGUGACCCCAGUGUGCGCUCCAGAGGCGGAGUCCAUCCGCUGAAACAUGGAAAACAAGAAGAGAAUCAGAACGGAAAUUCCCAGCAGCCACCACGAUCAGGUAGCAUUCCUGCUAUGCUGCCGAAGCCCCCGCUAACACCACUGGUCAAACUGGUGGGCAAAAUCUACUCCCUCAAGUGCAGGUCAGUCUAUGAAUAUGAAAAUAUGAAGAAUCAAGUCUUCAGUGUAUUCAUUGAGUAUUCAAGUACACAACAGAAAAAUAGACUGAUGGGGUUUAGAAAAGGAAAGAUGAAAUAAAGUAGUUUGAAUUAAUAUUCCACUCAUGAUUCACUUUCAAAAAAACAUGAUAAAAUUGGUUGUAAUGUUAAACAAUUAAGCCCUGAUUUACAAAAGGAUUGCACAGCCUUCGCAGCUUCUAAACCUGUGUCACAAUUACCUUUGUUGAGAGUGGAUGGUGUGCUCGGGUAUAUAUAAGUUAAACAGUCACUAAGGGCGCCCUGAAACAGAUAAUGAACGUACUUUGGUUUCUUAACAGUCUGUGUGUGAUGAGCUGAGAUUGAAAAGUGUUUGAUGUGAGAUUUUCAACACAAAAUACUGAACAUAAAAGCAAAAUCAUAAAUUAAAUACAACAGAGGGUGGAUUAUGUUAUAUCUGAUUGUUUUUUUCAGAUUCACUGUCUAAUGACAUAGAGUCAUAGAGUCUUCUAUCAGAGAUAGAAUAUAUAUUCAUGAUCAGUUAUUUCUAUAGUUUCCCCGUUUGUUCUGGUUUUCAUCAUGAAGAGAAGUCUGACAGUAAAGUUUGUCUGUUAGUAAAAACACUUGUUAUAUUUCCCAUCAGGUUAAUAAAGUUUCAUACGAGGCUGAUCAUUAAUGAGCACGGGGUUUGAAAAGAGGUGCAUAAUUUCUAUUUUCACUUAAAGUAAUAAAUAAUUUAAUUAUGAGGCAGUUUAAUAGUAAAUCGUUCCGUGAUGCAUCAGGACAGAAUAAACAGAGAGCAGAUUCUCUAUAUGUGCAGGUGUGUGUUAAACAGGUAAAGCACAGAGACAGAGCUCUGUUACUGUUUAUAUGUAUCAGAGUUAUUACAGUGAACAUGUGUGCAGACACAAACAGCUGUUGAAGCUGUCAUCACAAACCGACGACGCUUCACGUGACUCUCCAGAGGAAAGGACGUCUCAUUUCUCUUAAUACCAAUCUCCUCGUUUCCUCUCUCCCCUCGUUUUAUUUCCUUGCAUCUCUGGUGGGCGGGAUAAAGACGCGAGUGAACGACGCGAGGAUGGAAGUUAAAAGCUUUGAGACGUACCCACUGCUGGCAGUCCUGCCAACAUGGCGGUGUUGUUCUGAUUUCGCGUGCUGGGAUAUGUGACGUCAUCUCCCGAAGCUCCAUAGAUACAUGAAACAUUUCUCGUUUUUUUUUUCGGUGUAAAUUGUACUUUGUGUUUGCGGAGACAUCAUAAUAAGUGCAUAGAGUCCAUAACCAUUUUUUUUUAUUUUCAACACCGUGAUAGAAAUGGGAAGCUGCAGGCGAUGAUUUAUAAUUAGGGUGGCCACAAUGUACUAUUGGUUGUGAGGCAGAGGGCAUAACCUGCGGGACUGCGUAUUUCACUGGUAUCUGUCGUCUAAUAACUGUACAGGCUAGUGAAAGUACAGGUUAGCCUGGUCGUGGUGCCUCCCAAUUGGAGGUUGGCUAAUCCCUGCUAGUUCAGCUGAUUGCCUAACGCAGCGUAGUAUCUCUGCCCCACAACCCCUUUGUCCAUAUCCUGCCAAUCAAAUCCCCCUUUCUCCAUUUCUCUCCAUUUUUUACCAAUUAAAAAAAUCCUCCGCCUCAACUCUUGCCUCACACCGCCUCGACCAAUCUGAUGUCUAUUGCUACGCAAGUGCCAACAACAACAGGAAGCUCCGUCAAGGCAUCUUUCACGAUGGCAUCAAAAAAGCAUCAAGCCAUGGGUGAGUAUGUCACCAUGAAUGGAUGUUCCGGCUUAGUCACCUCAGCCUCUGCCGCCACACAGCCUGCAGUCAUCUCAGCCUCUGCCGCCAUGCAUCCUGCAGUCAUCUCAGCCUCUGCCGCCAUGCAGCCUGCAGUCAUCUCAGCCUCUGCCGCCAUGCAGCCUGCAGUCAUCUCAGCCUCUGCCGCCAUGCAGGCUGGUACUACUCCAGAGGAAGGACAGUUGGCUGUGGAUGACCAUGACAUGCCAGGCAUGGAUUGUGUGGACCUACUAUCAGAGUUUGUGGUCAGUAUGAUGAACUCUAGAGGUCAGCACAAUCAUAGAUCUCUGGCAGAACCUGCUGCCCUAUGACCAACAACGGGUGACAUUUGCUGCCAGGCAUCAAGACAGGCUGAGAACAGGAAAGCUCGGCUCACCAAAAAGAAAAAGGAAAAAAAGUCUGAGUUCACUCCUGGUGUGGAGAGUCUGAAGCGAUGCGUCCUGGGAUCUACUGCCUCCCCUGCACUGUAAAUAAGGAUUUGCUUGAGCAGUGUAAAAAUCCAAAUGUAAAUAUUUCUUGAUGUUCAUAUGUACAAAGUGUGUGAUAAAAGUGUAUUAAAGUUAAAGUGUAAGGAAUUUAUCGGCACUGAGAGACAACAGACUUAGUAGAAAUAGGAUAUUAAUCCCAAGUGUGUUUAAAUGAGUGUUUAAUCAGCUAAAUAGAAAAAUAAUUUUGUGUUUGUUAACUUAUAGUGAGCCUUUUAUAUCUACAAAGGAGUGGGUCCUCUUCCACAGAGGCCACCAAGUUUCUACAGUAACUCAGAAAAAUAAAAACAAGUGUUUUUGUAUUUCCUGAGUAGCCAAACAAGCCCAAAAUGCACCAGUUGAAACACUGAUUUUUAUUAUUUAUUAAUAAUAUAUCUUAUUCCCAGUUUGUAUUUUCUGUUAUUUAAAGUUUGUCAUUUUUCUACAAAGUGUAAGUGUUUGUUGUGUUUUUUGUUCAUUCUUGUUUUCACUGAAAAAAUAAAGAGUUAAACACUGUUUUUAAAUCC